CGAUCCAUGGAACUUAGACAAAAACAAGAUGCACUGCACAGUACAGCAGCACUUUAAGGCGAUCUUCUAUCUAACCCUCCCACCCGGCUCGACUCCAGCUUCUUCCCUCAUUAGGCCCAGCCCAGCCCUGGCCAGUAUAUCACACUGAUUCUGGGAUUACUGCCAUCCCCUGUUGCUGUUGACGGAAAAGAAAAGAACAAAAAGCAAGUCAAGGUGACUGUACUACGUUCUGUUUUUGUCAAAUGUCAGCUGGAUCAGCACAAUGUACAUCUCUUUGUUUCUUCUCUUCCUUCUUAUAGGUUCAACUUCUACUAAAGGACGUGGGGAUUUCGGCAUUUUUAAGGCUUGCAUCACUAACAACAGCCUCAGGUUGGACUGCUAUUAUGGAGUUUGUGAAGGCUCUCCACCAUUCGACUGUGUAUUUAUGGCAUCAAAUGGGUUCCUGCCGGCUAACCCAUCCAAGAUGUGCAGGCUUUUUCUCCCAGACCAUCCUGUGCUGUACGCCAAUAAAACCACAAGCUACAGCUGUAUACUGACGCGAAGACGAAGGAGAGAAGAGAAGCAAAUUACCAUAGACUACAGUAUACGUUGGGGAAAACAACACAUCUUACCCUGUUCUGGCACCACAGGCUACCUGCUACAUCAAGCUCCAACCUUACUGUGGCCUGUGGUGGUUCUGUCUCUGUGGAGGGUCCUCGGUAGCCAGACCACAUGAGGGAUUAUUUGUGGAAGUUUUGACUAACGUAACUGUUUUUAUUUUCUUUGACAAACUAAAUAAAUCUAUGUCCAGACAUCUAUGAAAAGAUAAAUCCCCUAGAGUUACCCUUUCAACCCGUCAGGCCUCAAAUCCAAGGGAGGAUUUCAUCUUCUCAAUGUUAAAUGGUAUCACCUUGCAGGUAAAUAUGUGCUGUUUGCACUCUGAGGACAACGAGGCGAGACAUCACUUAAAGAGUGUUUCCAAAAAAGCACUUCCUUUUCUUACUCAUUUAGAAAAAUACUCUUAACUAUCACCAAAAAUCCCAUACUUCUAAACUCCUUUGCUGCAUGGCAAAAUGCCCACACUAUCACAUGGGAUAACAUCCUUUGCCCCAUUGCAGAUGGAACAGUAAAAAACAAGUUUUAUUAGCAGCAUGGAAACAGCUGAAGAUUUACAAGUCCAAGGUGAGUUCCCAAAUUUUAAGCAAUUACUGAAAAUCUAUGCAACCAAAUCAUAAUUAAUUUAAAUUUUCAAUUUAGAUAUUAGGUCCACAAUUUCUUAUAUUUGAAACAGCAACUUCCCAAUUUAUGAUAAGGUUCAUUAAAAAAGAUUUGAAUAAGAUCUUCAAUGCAUUUGCAAUGAUGUAGAUUUGUGCAUAAUAGUAAAAAAAACUGAAACUUCAUCUGACCCUAGGAUCUGGAUAUCGGGAGACAGACAAGGAUCUAAUGUGAGCCAUAAUGAAAAAAAACUCUAUUACUGCAUGUAUGCGUGCACAGGUGGGAAAAGGUUUAUUCUAGCCUACAAAUAUGUAAAUCUGAACGUUCUCCAUCGCAUAAGCAAUAGUUACAUUUACAUCUCAUUGUACACCUGAAAAGAUCUUUCCCUUCAUCUUUUUGGCCAUACUAUCAUCAUUACACCUCCCUUCUUAUUGUGAAGUAGU